rnacentral:rRNA from 1 species
UACGUAGGGUGCAAGCGUUAAUCGGAAUUACUGGGCGUAAAGCGUGCGCAGGCGGUUUUGUAAGUCUGUCGUGAAAUCCCCGGGCUUAACCUGGGAAUGGCGAUGGAGACUGCAAGGCUAGAGUUUGGCAGAGGGGGGUAGAAUUCCACGUGUAGCAGUGAAAUGCGUAGAGAUGUGGAGGAACACCGAUGGCGAAGGCAGCCCCCUGGGUCAAAAUUGACGCUCAUGCACGAAAGCGUGGGGAGCAAACAGG